rnacentral:rRNA from 1 species
GUGUCAGCAGCCGCGGUAAGACGAACCGUGCGAACGUUGUUCGGAAUCACUGGGCUUAAAGGGCGCGUAGGCGGCUCGCGAGGUCGGGGGUGAAAUCCCGCAGCUCAACUGCGGAAGUGCCUUCGAUACCGGCGGGCUAGAGGAAGGUAGGGGUGCGCGGAACUUCUGGUGGAGCGGUGAAAUGCGUUGAUAUCAGAAGGAACGCCGGCGGCGAAAGCGGCGCACUGGACCUUAUCUGACGCUGAGGCGCGAAAGCCAGGGGAGCAAACGGGAUUAGAUACCCCGGUAGUCC